rnacentral:rRNA from 1 species
CCCUUAGAUGUCCUGGGCUGCACGCGCGCUACACUGGAAGUUACGGAUUGAGAUACUACCUUGUCCGAAAUGGUCCGGGUAAUCACCUAAACGCUUGUCAUAAUUGGAAUGGAUUAUUGUAACUAGUAAUCCUGAACGAGGAAUUCCUAGUAAGUCCCAGUCAACAGCUGGUACUGAUUACGUCCCUGCCCUUUGUACACACCGCCCGUCGCUACUACUGAUUGGACGUUUAAGCAAGAUUUUUAAACACUGACAGUGUGUAGUUCACGCUAUACUACAGUGAGAAGAAGAAGAUCGAGCUUACUUGUCUAGAGGAAGUAAAAGUCGUAACA